rnacentral:rRNA from 1 species
CUUUGACCUCAAAUCAGGUAGGACUACCCGCUGAACUUAAGCAUAUCAAUAAGGCGGAGGAAA